rnacentral:rRNA from 1 species
UACGGGGGGGGCAAGCGUUGUUCGGAAUUACUGGGCGUAAAGGGCUUGUAGGUGGCCAACUAAGUCAGACGUGAAAUCCCUCGGCUUAACCGGGGAACUGCGUCUGAUACUGGAUGGCUGGAGUGUGGGAGAGGGAUGCGGAAUUCCAGGUGUAGCGGUGAAAUGCGUAGAUAUCUGGAGGAACACCGGUGGCGAAGGCGGCACCCUGGACCAACACUGACGCUGAGUGAGCGAAAGCCAGGGGAGCAAACGGG